GGGCCUGUGGCGCAGCUGGUAGCGCGCCUCCAUGGCAUGGAGGAGGUCGUCGGUUCGAACCCGAUCAGGUCCACCA
rnacentral:tRNA from 4 species